CUACGGGAGGCAGCAGUGGGGAAUAUUGCACAAUGGGCGAAAGCCUGAUGCAGCAACGCCGCGUGGAGGAUGACACAUUUCGGUGCGUAAACUCCUUUUAUAUAAGAAGAUAAUGACGGUAUUAUAUGAAUAAGCACCGGCUAACUCCGUGCCAGCAGCCGCGGUAAUACGGGGGGUGCAAGCGUUACUCGGAAUCACUGGGCGUAAAGAGCAUGUAGGCUGGAUGACAAGUUGGAAGUGAAAUCCUAUGGCUUAACCAUAGAACUGCUCCCAAAACUGUCUUCCUAGAGUAUGGGAGAGGUAGAUGGAAUUUCUGGUGUAGGGGUAAAAUCCGUAGAGAUCAGAAGGAAUACCGAUUGCGAAGGCGAUCUACUGGAACAUUACUGACGCUCAGAUGCGAAAGCGUGGGGAGCAAACAGGAUUAGAUACCCGCGUAGUC
rnacentral:rRNA from 1 species